AGUAUUUACUAUACAGGGUUCAAAAAAAAAAAAACAAUGCAGGUACGGCUGAUCGCUAAGUCGUGCAGUUCAUGUAUAAUAUGAAAGCAGCAUUGCUGGUCGUUAAAUCAACAACAUACAAGCAGCAUAGCUGGUCGUUAAAUCGACAACAUACAAGCAGCACAGCUGGUCGUUAAAUCGACAACCUGGAAGCAGCAUUGCUGGUCGUUAAAUCAACAACAUACAAGCAGCAUAGCUGGUCAUUAAAUCGACAACAUACAAGCAGCACAGCUGGUCGUUAAAUCGACAACCUGAAAGCAGCAUUGCUGGUCGUUAAAUCGACAACCUGAAAGCAGUGUAGAUGGUCGUUAAAUUGACGACCUACUAGCAGCAUAGCUGGUCGUUAAAUCGACAAUCUAGAAGCAGCAUAGCUGAUCGUUAAAUCGAUAAACUUUUUAAUUUCAGAUUCUGCGCUAAUAUGGCCCAACUUACGCUGGAAAAGUUUGAAUGUGAAGGGGAUACUACAUCCCUUCCUUGGUUGUUGUAGUUGUGUCGUGGUUAAAGGGGUCACUCCACUGCGUCGUUGGUGUUGGUGAGUAUGACAUGGGCUAUGCUGUGAUAGAAGGGGACGUUCAACUUGUGGUUAAGGUGGUUAAGUGUUGUGAACGCAAAAUGGUGUAAAGGAUCUCGUAGUAAGAGACCAUUCUGAACGAAUGUGGACAUGGAGAUGUCACUAAGAGUUGCUGUUCGAUGGUGAGGUGGUGCAGAAUUGUUCUGUCAUCAUGCUUGUGACACUCAAAUAAUAAUUAUUUGUCUUUGUAUUAGGGUAUUAAUACUAAAUCACUGUGUUAGUUUGAAGUUAUAAAUAGCCAAGGAACAUCCGAAGUCAGGCGGCGUGUUAUGUGAGCGACAUUGAGGGAGUCGCUAAAAGUUUUAGUUGUUUUACAUUUGAGUUAUUUAGUAUCAUUCGAUUAAAGAUUUGUUGUUGAACGUUGAAUUGAAAUUUGUUGUCGUUACACCCUUAUGUGUGUGUUAUGGUGUAUUUGAUAGACUUGUUAAUUGAUCAAGCAGAUGCCAUUGUUUAACCUGCAAGUUUGUACAACUUGAUGAAAUUUAGUUUUCUUAUUUUCAAAGGGUUUUUAUGAUGGUGCUUGCAAUGCGUUGUGAAGUGAAAUUGCACAGGAUCAUCAUUUGGUCGGAUUACAACAAGCUUUAAUUAUUGAUUAGUCAUUUUGCAAUGUAGGUUGGUGGAAAUACUUUCAUCAAGACCUAGCGCAGUUAAGUUUAAGUUUUGACGCAAUUUAACUAUGUAUAGGUGCAUGAUUGAGUUUAGCAGGUGUUAGCAGUGGACUGUGAAUGGCAGGGAGAACAGUCCUAUAUAUAUAUAUAUAUAUAUUAGAAUGAGAAACAAUAGCCAUUGGUUCGAAGUCAAACAACAUUGAGGCUAACAACGAAUGAGCGGGUCAGCGUUCAACCAAACGAAUGUUCGAAAUAUCAUCAGCUUUGUUUUAUAUGUUGUCUUCUGCACCAAAAAAAUUACAGAAAUAUAGUCAAAAUGUAAGAUUUUGCACCGCUAUGUAAAAAAAAAAAAAA
rnacentral:lncRNA from 1 species